rnacentral:rRNA from 1 species
UACGUAGGGUGCAAGCGUUGUCCGGAAUUAUUGGGCGUAAAGAGCUCGUAGGCGGUUCGUCGCGUCGGCUGUGAAAACCCGGAGCUCAACUCCGGGCCUGCAGUCGAUACGGGCGGACUGGAGUGUUGCAGGGGAGACUGGAAUUCCUGGUGUAGCGGUGAAAUGCGCAGAUAUCAGGAGGAACACCGGUGGCGAAGGCGGUGGUCUGGGCCAAAACUGACGCUGAGGAGCGAAAGCCAGGGGAGCAAACGGG